AAGAGAGAACGAUUGCUGGUUUCGCUGGCUGAAAUACCAGUCGUAUUAUGCAUUUAUUAUACUUACACAGCAAGACAACAAAGAUAGAGCAAGGGAAUAAACUGCAGGAGAACUACAUUGUCAGGAAGAGAUGCCUUGGCUCUACUAAGAGGUAA
rnacentral:lncRNA from 1 species